rnacentral:rRNA from 1 species
AGCAAUUAAACUUUAGUGGCGAACGGGUGAGUAACGCGUAAGCAAUCUGCCCCUAAGACGAGGAUAACAGUUGGAAACGACUGCUAAGACUGGAUAGGAGACAAGARGGCAUCUUCUUGUUUUUAAAAGACCUAGCAAUAGGUAUGCUUAGGGAGGAGCUUGCGUCACAUUAGUUAGUUGGUGGGGUAAAGGCCUACCAAGACUAUGAUGUGUAGCCGGGCUGAGAGGUUGAACGGCCACAUUGGGACUGAGACACGGCCCAAACUCCUACGGGAGGCAGCAGUAGGGAAUUUUCGGCAAUGGAGGAAACUCUGACCGAGCAACGCCGCGUGAACGAUGAAGUAUUUCGGUACGUAAAGUUCUUUUAUUAGGGAAGAAUAAAUGAUGGAAAAAUCAUUCUGACGGUACCUAAUGAAUAAGCCCCGGCUAACUAUGUGCCAGCAGCCGCGGUAAUACAUAGGGGGCAAGCGUUAUCCGGAAUUAUUGGGCGUAAAGGGUGCGUAGGCGGUUAAAUAAGUUUAUGGUCUAAGUGCAAUGCUCAACAUUGUGAUGCUAUAAAAACUGUUUAGCUAGAGUAAGAUAGAGGCAAGUGGAAUUCCAUGUGUAGUGGUAAAAUGCGUAAAUAUAUGGAGGAACACCAGUAGCGAAGGCGGCUUGCUGGGUCUUUACUGACGCUGAGGCACGAAAGCGUGGGGAGCAAACAGGAUUAGAUACCCUGGUAGUCCACGCCGUAAACGAUGAGUACUAAACGUUGGGUAAAACCAGUGUUGAAGUUAACACAUUAAGUACUCCGCCUGAGUAGUACGUACGCAAGUAUGAAACUUAAAGGAAUUGACGGGACUCCGCACAAGCGGUGGAUCAUGUUGUUUAAUUCGAAGGUACCCGAAAAACCUCACCAGGUCUUGACAUGCUUCUGCAAAGCUGUAGAAACACAGUGGAGGUUAUCAGUUGCACAGGUGGUGCAUGGUUGUCGUCAGCUCGUGUCGUGAGAUGUUGGGUUAAGUCCCGCAACGAGCGCAACCCUUAUUGUUAGUUACCAGCACGUAAUGGUGGGGACUUUAGCAAGACUGCCAGUGAUAAAUUGGAGGAAGGUGGGGACGACGUCAAAUCAUCAUGCCCCUUAUGACCUGGGCUACAAACGUGAUACAAUGGCUGUUACAAAGGGUAGCUGAAGCGCAAGUUUUUGGCGAAUCUCAAAAAAACAGUCUCAGUUCGGAUUGAAGUCUGCAACUCGACUUCAUGAAGUUGGAAUCGCUAGUAAUCGCGAAUCAGCAUGUCGCGGUGAAUACGUUCUCGGGGUUUGUACACACCGCCCGUCAAACCACGAAAGUUGGYAAUACCCAAAGCCGGUGGCCUAACUUCGCAAGAAGAGGGAACCGUCUAAGGUAGGGUCGAUGAUUGGGGUUAAGUCGUAACAAGGUAUCCCUACCGGAAGGUGGGGAUGGAUCACCUCCUUUCU